rfam:Ovis aries breed Texel chromosome 18, whole genome shotgun sequence.
UCCCUCGUGGUCCAGUGUGUAAAACUCUGCACUUCCAAUGCAGGGAGCCCAGGUUCAAUCCCUGGUCUGGGAG